UACGUAGGGACCGAGCGUUGUCCGGAUUCAUUGGGCGUAAAGAGCUCGUAGGCGGCUGCUCAAGUCGAAUGUGAAAACUCGAGGCUCAACCUCGAGCCUGCAUUCGAUACUGGGCGGCUAGAGUCUGGUAGGGGGAGUCUGGAAUUCCUGGUGUAGCGGUGGAAUGCGCAGAUAUCAGGAGGAACACCGAUGGCGAAGGCAGGUCUCUGGGCAUUAACUGACGCUGAGGAGCGAAAGCAUGGGGAGCGAACAGG
rnacentral:rRNA from 1 species